AGAGUUUGAUCCUGGCUCAGGACGAACGCUGGCGGCGUGCUUAACACAUGCAAGUCGAACGGAAAGGCCAGUGCUUGCACUGGUACUCGAGUGGCGAACGGGUGAGUAACACGUGGGUGAUCUGCCUUGCACUCUGGGAUAAGCUUGGGAAACUGGGUCUAAUACCGGAUAUGAACUGCCUUUAGUGUGGUGGUUGGAAAGUUUUUUCGGUGCAAGAUGAGCUCGCGGCCUAUCAGCUUGUUGGUGGGGUAAUGGCCUACCAAGGCGUCGACGGGUAGCCGGCCUGAGAGGGUGUACGGCCACAUUGGGACUGAGAUACGGCCCAGACUCCUACGGGAGGCAGCAGUGGGGAAUAUUGCACAAUGGGCGGAAGCCUGAUGCAGCGACGCCGCGUGGGGGAUGACGGCCUUCGGGUUGUAAACUCCUUUCGACAGGGACGAAGCGUAAGUGACGGUACCUGUAUAAGAAGCACCGGCUAACUACGUGCCAGCAGCCGCGGUAAUACGUAGGGUGCGAGCGUUGUCCGGAAUUACUGGGCGUAAAGAGCUCGUAGGUGGUUUGUCGCGUCGUCUGUGAAAUUCCGGGGCUUAACUCCGGGCGUGCAGGCGAUACGGGCAUAACUUGAGUGCUGUAGGGGAGACUGGAAUUCCUGGUGUAGCGGUGAAAUGCGCAGAUAUCAGGAGGAACACCGAUGGCGAAGGCAGGUCUCUGGGCAGUUACUGACGCUGAGGAGCGAAAGCAUGGGUAGCAAACAGGAUUAGAUACCCUGGUAGUCCAUGCCGUAAACGGUGGGCGCUAGGUGUAGGGGGCUUCCACGUCUUCUGUGCCGUAGCUAACGCAUUAAGCGCCCCGCCUGGGGAGUACGGCCGCAAGGCUAAAACUCAAAGGAAUUGACGGGGGCCCGCACAAGCGGCGGAGCAUGUGGAUUAAUUCGAUGCAACGCGAAGAACCUUACCUGGGCUUGACAUACACCAGAUUGCUGCAGAGAUGUAGUGUCCCUUGUGGUUGGUGUACAGGUGGUGCAUGGUUGUCGUCAGCUCGUGUCGUGAGAUGUUGGGUUAAGUC
rnacentral:rRNA from 1 species